AUGCUUAAUAGUAGAGGGCGGGAAGAGAAGAUCACCAAAGAGCCAGAUGUAUACACCUUCCCAGGAGACUCUGAGCCAGAAAGUCCACCACCUGGACCUUGGGCGCACUGCACCUUCAUCCAACGCCGAAGAAAAAAGAGGGCCAUAUUGAGGCCUUUCUCUGGCUUAGACACUUGGCAGCACACAACGGUAGCCGGCAGGAAGACCAGAGGAAAACCCUUGGGAGCAAAGGAGCGUAGGAAAACCACAAAGGUUGGGGAAGGGAUGUUCAAAUUUAAAGAGGAAAAGGAAGAGAAGGUACGGGGAAGGCAGAGGUCAGUAGUAGAGCACCAACUGGAUGGAGACCUCUCCCAAGAGAUUUUUACAUGUGUAGAAUGUAGCAUUUACUUCAGAAAACGCAUCCAUUUACAUGAACACAUGCAAGAGCAUGGCCAGGUUGGUAGAUCUGGGAAGAAAUGGCAGUGUAGAGAAAAAGACUCUUGGAGUGGACAUCUUAAUAAAAAAGCUUUUGAAUGUAUAGAGUGUGGUCUGGAGUUUGUAGACAAGGUACUCCUGCUAGAUCAUCAGCGAUGCCAUGAGGAGUCACGGCAGAAAAUCCUUGAAGAGAUUGGAAAAUUAAAAGAGGGGGAUAAGCGUGUGGCAGAGCAAGCUAGUUGCAGUAAGGCAUCGGAGCCAGUCAACCAAGAGUCAACAGAUGUUAGCCAGUUUGUGUGUCUUAAGUGCAACUUUAGCUCUGAUUUGCCUCAAGAACUUGCUGAGCAUGCCAAGACGCACAACACUCGAACAAGAGCUGGUGUCUAUCGAACCUCACCCCGCUUUCAACAGAAGUCCUGCAAGAAGGACCAGUUCAGUCCUCUGCAGAUGUUACUUCAACUCUUGUCACAUCACCUUUCAACAAGAGGUACCCCAUCCGGGCAUCCAAAAAAUCUAAAGAAACACAGCCCAAAAGUGGCGCUUCACAGGUGGACUUCAGUUCGUUGUCUUGUCAAAGUACUUCUGCAACCCCAGGAGAGGCCACAGAGCAACCUGAUAAUACAACUCUGCGUGAAAAUACAGACCCUGUGGAGGAGUUGA
rnacentral:lncRNA from 1 species